ensembl:lncRNA LOC120095183 uncharacterized LOC120095183
GUGGGGGGACUCUCCAGGGACACCAUGCGUCACAGAGCAGCGAAGAGGGGGGUGGUGAAGGCAGGCAUGGGCAGGUAGGAGAAUGUCACCCUGUCACUGACAUCAUAGGGCAGAAGUGGGGAAUCAAAAGAACAGAGGUCAAGGCAUGGUAAGGGUCAGGUGACUGCCACGCCCUCCUCCCCUCCGGGCUCAGGGGGAUCGGUGAGUUCCUUAAGUGGAUUUGCAAUGAGUUUCUGAAGAAAAGGUCAACUUCGAGGAUUUGCGUUACUCCUGAAAGGGCAGGGCUGCAGACACUCAGGCCAGCUUAGUCCACUGAGACCUGCAGCAACGCCUGCCUGUUCUUUGCAGUGAGCAGCCCUUCUUCGCUUAUAUAUGUGGGUCGGGAUCAGCUUGGGAUAUCAGUUCUAAAGGAGCUGGGGACCGAACCCAGGGCUUUGCGCUUGCUAGGCAAGUGUUCUACCACUGAGCUAAAUCCCCAACCCCCAAUGCAAAUCUGACCAACCAAGCUUCUGCUGCCCUGCCUUCCUUGCCUGGUAGACAACGGAUGGAUGCUAAGACCCCCUUGACCAUACACUGAAAUAAAUCCUUGCUUCCCUUAGGGGACAUUUGUCCGGUCUUUUAUUAUAGCAACCAGAAAGUAAUAGGAACUUUAUUAGUGAUGAUUUUUCUCGUGAAACCCUUGGUAGGA